UAGCACAUAAACAACAUGUUCCAAGCUACUUUAGCUGUGUGUAGUAAGAAUGGGAUUUCCACUGUUUGUUCAACAUUUGGACUCACCAGGCUAUAAAUUGGUCUGCAAGAACCCUGACUGCUAGAGGAACUUUAUCCUGCAGGAAACACAAGCAGUUCCUUAAACAACGAUCAACUCGCCAGGAAGAGUCAAAAAUGAAAGCAGUCCAGCUUGCUGUUGUCCUCUUGAUCGUCUGCAUCAGCAGUGCAUUGGCUCUAAAGUGCAAACGCUGUGUCCCACGGUCUAGUGCAUCAUGCACCAACACAGUGGAAACCUGCCAGGGACAAGAGGACGUCUGUGCAUCUGUCACCUGUGCAUAUAGCAUCCGGACCUUACAUUUCAAGAGGUGCAUGAAGAAGUCGGACACCUUUAUUUUACAAGCUGACCCCCACUGUACAGUCUUCACAUGUACCACUGAUCAGUGCAACUGAGAUGAUGAUCCCAAACUUCACAAUGUAAUGAUUUUCAUUCCUGAAAGACAGAACAAUUAACUCUAACCAUCAUUUUAAUUUUUCCCAUAGAGAAACAUGUAUUUGCAUGUGUGACAACUGACACAUUUUACCCAGUUAUAGUGGACAUUGAAAUAUAUUGUUUUGUAUACAGCAGUUGUUCUUGACAGAGUGUGCAGUCAUGGUCUCUAUUUCUGUCUAUUUGUUGGGAAAUAAUUAAAUGUUUAAAAUUGUC